rnacentral:rRNA from 1 species
CGGAAUCACUGGGCGUAAAGCGCACGGAGGCGGCUUUCUAAGUCAGGGGUGAAAUCCUGGAGCUCAACUCCAGAACUGCCUUUGAUACUGGGAAGCUCGAGUCCGGAAGAGGUGAGUGGAACUCCGAGUGUAGAGGUGAAAUUCGUAGAUAUUCGGAAGAACACCAGUGGCGAAGGCGGCUCACUGGUCCGGUACUGACGCUGAGGUGCGAAAGCGUGGGGAGCAAACAGG